rnacentral:rRNA from 1 species
GACGAACGCUGGCGGCGUGCUUAACACAUGCAAGUCGAACGGAAAGACCCUGCUUUUGUGGGGUGCUCGAGUGGCGAACGGGUGAGUAACACGUGAGUAACCUGCCCUUGACUUUGGGAUAACUUCAGGAAACUGGGGCUAAUACCGGAUAGGAGCUCCUGCUGCAUGGUGGGGGUUGGAAAGUUUCGGCGGUUGGGGAUGGACUCGCGGCUUAUCAGCUUGUUGGUGGGGUAGUGGCUUACCAAGGCUUUGACGGGUAGCCGGCCUGAGAGGGUGACCGGCCACAUUGGGACUGAGAUACGGCCCAGACUCCUACGGAAGGCAGCAGUGGGGAAUAUUGCACAAUGGGCGGAAGCCUGAUGCAGCAACGCCGCGUGCGGGAUGACGGCCUUCGGGUUGUAAACCGCUUUCGCCUGUGACGAAGCGUGAGUGACGGUAAUGGGUAAAGAAGCACCGGCUAACUACGUG